UGUUUUCUUUCGUGCUUUGGAAACUUGCUAAACCAACACAGUGUAGGUGGGCGGCUAUCUGGUUGGGUGUCUGGGCUCGCAGUGCGAUUGUGAGUUCUGUGGAGCACGUUCUGCUGGGAGGGUAAGCUCUUCUCUCCUCUUCCACCAUGCCUGCUUCGUUACCGGGAGCAGCCCUGUGUGACAUGGUGAUAGGCGAGGAUCCAAGGUGCCUUUGCUGGGCUCUGUGAGCAGAGAGAGCCUCACCUUCCCCUUGCCACAUCUGGAGUCUUCAAGGAAGUGAGAAGUGUUCACGUUGCAGCUGCAGCCCCUUUCAUGACAUGUUCGGCACUACAAAUACCAGCUGCCAUUAAGAGGAACAAUCCGAUCUUCAUCAUCAUCAUCACCACCAUCACCAUCAUCACCAACGUCCUCCUCAUCCUGUGUCUGAGAGAUAAAUAUCCUUUUGUUUUAAACGCACCGAGAGAUUCCGCUUUUAUUUUUUCACAAUUACUUAUUUCUAUGUGCUAUGUGACAGAGGAUGCCCCAACAUUUUAUGAUGUUAUACCCUAGUAAAGAGUACCACAAAUGAUCACAGAUUCAGACUGCAUGAAAUGUAACAGAUUUUAUAUUUGACAAAAUAUAAAAGCAUUCUCCAAAUGAAAUUUUCUCACCUUAUGGAAGGGUUCUCCCUGUCCAGAUUUUAUGUGAGAAAUUAGUUUCAGGAGAUCAUUUUAUCCAUAUCACUUUAAAUGCUUUUCAUAUGGACUGUGGGGUGUUAUAAAUCCUGACUUAAUAUGAGGCAAAGAGGGGAAAAAGCCCAUAGAUUGCACACAUGGAAUCUAUUCCACAUUGUUUUUGCUAGAUUUUCUGAGACCCCAGGAGAUCUGAUAACAAUAGGUUAUAUGGAGUGCAAUUAGAACCACAGUGUGGAAUCCAGAAGAUCGGGGCAGAUGCUGGUAUUCCAGGCUGGGGAGCUUUGCUUGCCCUUGCUUGGACAUGAUGAACUUGGGAGGCCUUGGUGCACUGAUCUUGGGUUGCCUUCAAUGCUUCGGGAAUGCUUUCAGAAAGUGGGAAAAAAUAUUCAUUAGUGAAACUUUAAAAUCUCACCUCAAACGGUGUGUUAUUUUGCAAUACAGGAAAACGUCAGCACCCAAAAUUAGAACCCUUGAUUUUAAACAUUAAUGUUUGAUUGCAUGGGUCUCAUUUCUGUGAACUGGAAUGGGGAUGUGGAGGGGGUGUGCUUCUUUGCAAAGGGGCCUGGUGGGAGCCGACAGUGUAAGGCUAAGGGGGAAUGGAGGGCCCAUGAUGGUUGACAAAUAAUUCUUGGAGUUGGGAACGUGCACUGGAAAAGAGCCCCUUGCUGGGAGCUGCAGGAUGCCCCACCUAGACUGUAUGAAGGGCUCUCUCCAGAUCUGUGCAGCAGCCAGCAACAGCAGCAAGGGCUUCUCCCUGAAAAGAUAGCAGUAUCCGCAUACAUCUAUUCACUGCUGGGGGAGGGAUUUUGAGAGGAGCCAUUUUGUAAUAGCUUUGAGGAAACCCCUCCCAGCCUUUGUGAAAAGGAGCGAACCCCAGAGGACAUCUUUAGCCAAAGUGACUCUGAGCUGGGGAGGUACAUUUUAUUUUUAUUUAUUAUCACAACACACACUAUAAAUUUUAAGACCCAUUUGAGUAAUUUCCCCUGAGGAGGAAAUCUGACCCCAUUCCCACAACUGCCGGGCUCUUGAAGUGCUAAGUGUGCCACAGAACAUUUGGAAGGCUUUCUUUAACGUUCCAGAUCAUUCUUCCACUCCGGGGGCUGCAAGCCUAGCUCACUGGGCCUUGCUAAUACUGGAGCUUCUUUAUUUAUGAGUACAGGGGAUGUGGGGUUGGGUAGGGUGACAGCUGCAGGUUUGCCCUGUGCCCCUGGAGAUUUGUGGUCAUUGGAGUUGGAGAGAGAAGAUAAUGACCACUCAGAGAUAUCCUAUUUGAGCAACUGUUUGUUAUACAAUAAAAAUGUCUUAGUGGCUCUGAGCAUGAACUCUCCCAGGGAGGGUGUUGCUGGAAGCAGUUGGAGACUAUUUUUUUUUUUAACCAAAUGAGGGAACAGGAGUUCAGGGCUCUGUUGUGAGAAGGGGCAGCUUUGCUGCCAUCCUUUCUAUUGGCUUCAUUUGCUUGUCAGACUUCCCCAGAGGGGCUGCUGCUCCUGAGACCACGGCUGGCACUGAGUAGCAGAUUCUGGCGUUGGGUAGGGGUCGAUGGAACCCAGAAGCAUUGGGGAGGGAAUGAGCCGGGCACAGAAGGAAGCAUGUUUCAUCUGAACUGUGUCAGAUGACAAGAGAGAUUUCCAUUGUGUGUGCCGCAGAGCAGCUCGGAGCUUCGCUGGAACUGAAGACUCCAACAACAACUUUAAGAUCAACCAAAAAUUCCCACCAUUAUGGCUACCAAUUCUAACCCUUGGACCUUAACACACAAUCUUGCUUCCUGGUCUGGUUCAUUAUUUCCUAUCUUCUUUUCCUCCCUCAGAAAAACAAGUCCAUUCAUAGUUACAGUUGUGGGAUGUGGGGAGGAGCCCUCGCCUGUGCCCUAGAAAGGAGAACACUGCAGGAAGGGGGCCACUAAUUAGCUGGUCCCAGAGCUUCAUGAAGCUGGCAUGGUUUCUUUAUUUUUAAGGCUUCAAGGCAGGGGCCAGACUGGGCAAAGAACAAUGAGAGCAUCGCAGAGGUGAUGCUUUUAAUGAUACAGUCGCUAAUGAAAUGGCACUCCACGGGUUCACUUAUUAGUAACUUAGCUCAAACAGCCAUGUCCCACUGUCAGCUUGCCACUGAAGACCCAGUGUGACCUCAGAAUUGUCAGCUCCACCUGAAAAAGAGCAAAUGUAGCAGGAAAUCCAGAGGCAGCAAGCAUAAUUUGGAGCGGGAAGAUUAACAACAACAGAGAGGGCCGUGGGAAUCUCUGCAUCUCCAGUUUGCUGGGACGUUAAGCCCGAAGCAGAGCUUCUAUGAAGAACAGGCUAACCUUGCACUACUUGGGUUGCAUCUGAUUUGUAAACAAUGGAACGACUUGAUUGAAUGUUUUUGGAGGCUUGGAUGACAGUGUUGGUAUUAGAGGAGUGACAAGCACAACUCCAUUCUCUGCUAAUUAUAUACUGUAGCUCUUCCUGAUGUUUUUCAGGGCACAGAGAUUUCUAACUUUAUGUUUGGAAAAUGAUUUAUGGGGAAAACACUUCCGUACAAAUCUUGCUUGACAACUGGGGCAUCGUGAAGGAUAUAUAGAUGUAAAAUUUUAUGACACUUUCCAUUUCUGUAACUUUAUUUGUUUGAAUAACUUAGUAUCCUUUACAUAAAUUAUUGAAUUUCACGUGCUAAUAUGCCUCUGCCACAUGGGAAUUGUAUUUACCUUUGAAUUCAGAAUUGGACAGGAAGGGCCGUCAUGUUGGGAACUGUCUUUUUGAGGGUCAAACCAUAUUUUACACCUCUGGUUGGCUUGCAUCUAUGUUUAAAAACUACUCCCUAGAACAUACACUCAUAAGUGGAAUUUUCUCCUUUAAAUGCCCAUGUAUGUCCUUAUUAACAA